CGGGGCGUAGCGCAGCUUGGUAGCGCAUCAGCUUUGGGAGCUGAGGGUCGUCGGUUCAAAUCCGACCGCCCCGA
rnacentral:tRNA from 1 species